rnacentral:lncRNA from 1 species
UAACAUUCACAUCCACAUUCUAAUUCUUAUAUUACUUGAUAAAAGAAUAGGAAAAGAUGUUCCAUAACAUCAUUACAUGCAUGUGAAUGAAUUAUAGUAGCAUCAGGGGAAAAGGUUUUCUACCAUUGAAUUAUAUACAUUGACUUCGUUAUAUGAAACAAAUAUAUGAGACUUGAAAAGUUGUAAUUAUAUAUAGGAGAAG